CCGAGGUUUGACUGUAUAUAGCAAUCUCAGCAUGUUGCAACAUAACCGUAAGAGAUGUCAUGCAGCUGAAGGAGUCUUAUGUCUUUUUGGCCUGUAGGACUCCUUAGGGAGCUGAUAGGCAUGGGCUGUUGAAGAGAAAUGUAGGUUUCGCGGUCGAUGAGAC